GACUCGAUAUAAGAAGGGGCU
rnacentral:siRNA from 1 species